rnacentral:rRNA from 1 species
GGGUUGUGAGGUUAAGCGACUAAGCGUACACGGUGGAUGCCCUGGCAGUCAGAGGCGAUGAAGGACGUGCUAAUCUGCGAAAAGCGUCGGUAAGGUGAUAUGAACCGUUAUAACCGGCGAUGUCCGAAUGGGGAAACCCAGUGUGAUUCGUCACACUAUCGUUAACUGAAUACAUAGGUUAACGAGGCGAACCGGGGGAACUGAAACAUCUAAGUACCCCGAGGAAAAGAAAUCAACCGAGAUUCCCCCAGUAGCGGCGAGCGAACGGGGAGCAGCCCAGAGUCUGAAUCAGCUUGUGUGUUAGUGGAACGGUCUGGAAAGUCCGACGGUACAGGGUGAUAGUCCCGUACACCAAAAUGCACAGGCUGUGAACUCGAAGAGUAGGGCGGGACACGUGGUAUCCUGUCUGAAUAUGGGGGGACCAUCCUCCAAGGCUAAAUACUCCUGACUGACCGAUAGUGAACCAGUACCGUGAGGGAAAGGCGAAAAGAACCCCGGCGAGGGGAGUGAAAAAGAACCUGAAACCGUGUACGUACAAGCAGUGGGAGCACCUUCGGGUGUGACUGCGUACCUUUUGUAUAAUGGGUCAGCGACUUAUAUUCUGUAGCAAGGUUAACCGUAUAGGGGAGCCGCAGGGAAACCGAGUCUUAACUGGGCGUUAAGUUGCAGGGUAUAGACCCGAAACCCGGUGAUCUAGCCAUGGGCAGGUUGAAGGUUGGGUAACACUAACUGGAGGACCGAACCGACUAAUGUUGAAAAAUUAGCGGAUGACUUGUGGCUGGGGGUGAAAGGCCAAUCAAACCGGGAGAUAGCUGGUUCUCCCCGAAAGCUAUUUAGGUAGCGCCUCGUGAACUCAUCUUCGGGGGUAGAGCACUGUUUCGGCUAGGGGGUCAUCCCGACUUACCAACCCGAUGCAAACUACGAAUACCGAAGAAUGUUAUCACGGGAGACACACGGCGGGUGCUAACGUCCGUCGUGAAGAGGGAAACAACCCAGACCGCCAGCUAAGGUCCCAAAGUCAUGGUUAAGUGGGAAACGAUGUGGGAAGGCACAGACAGCCAGGAUGUUGGCUUAGAAGCAGCCAUCAUUUAAAGAAAGCGUAAUAGCUCACUGGUCGAGUCGGCCUGCGCGGAAGAUGUAACGGGGCUAAACCAUGCACCGAAGCUGCGGCAGCGACACUAUGUGUUGUUGGGUAGGGGAGCGUUCUGUAAGCCUGCGAAGGUGUGCUGUGAGGCAUGCUGGAGGUAUCAGAAGUGCGAAUGCUGACAUAAGUAACGAUAAAGCGGGUGAAAAGCCCGCUCGCCGGAAGACCAAGGGUUCCUGUCCAACGUUAAUCGGGGCAGGGUGAGUCGACCCCUAAGGCGAGGCCGAAAGGCGUAGUCGAUGGGAAACAGGUUAAUAUUCCUGUACUUGGUGUUACUGCGAAGGGGGGACGGAGAAGGCUAUGUUAGCCGGGCGACGGUUGUCCCGGUUUAAGCAUGUAGGCUGGUUAUCCAGGCAAAUCCGGAUAAUCAAGGCUGAGGUGUGAUGACGAGGCACUACGGUGCUGAAGUAACAAAUGCCCUGCUUCCAGGAAAAGCCUCUAAGCAUCAGGUAACAUCAAAUCGUACCCCAAACCGACACAGGUGGUCAGGUAGAGAAUACCAAGGCGCUUGAGAGAACUCGGGUGAAGGAACUAGGCAAAAUGGUGCCGUAACUUCGGGAGAAGGCACGCUGGUGUGUAGGUGAAGUCCCUGCGGAUGGAGCUGAGACCAGUCGAAGAUACCAGCUGGCUGCAACUGUUUAUUAAAAACACAGCACUGUGCAAACACGAAAGUGGACGUAUACGGUGUGACGCCUGCCCGGUGCCGGAAGGUUAAUUGAUGGGGUUAUCCGUAAGGAGAAGCUCUUGAUCGAAGCCCCGGUAAACGGCGGCCGUAACUAUAACGGUCCUAAGGUAGCGAAAUUCCUUGUCGGGUAAGUUCCGACCUGCACGAAUGGCGUAAUGAUGGCCAGGCUGUCUCCACCCGAGACUCAGUGAAAUUGAACUCGCUGUGAAGAUGCAGUGUACCCGCGGCAAGACGGAAAGACCCCGUGAACCUUUACUAUAGCUUGACACUGAACAUUGAGCCUUGAUGUGUAGGAUAGGUGGGAGGCUUUGAAGCGUGGACGCCAGUCUGCGUGGAGCCAACCUUGAAAUACCACCCUUUAAUGUUUGAUGUUCUAACGUUGGCCCCUGACCGGGGUUGCGGACAGUGUCUGGUGGGUAGUUUGACUGGGGCGGUCUCCUCCCAAAGCGUAACGGAGGAGCACGAAGGUUAGCUAAUCCUGGUCGGACAUCAGGAGGUUAGUGCAAUGGCAUAAGCUAGCUUGACUGCGAGCGUGACGGCGCGAGCAGGUGCGAAAGCAGGUCAUAGUGAUCCGGUGGUUCUGAAUGGAAGGGCCAUCGCUCAACGGAUAAAAGGUACUCCGGGGAUAACAGGCUGAUACCGCCCAAGAGUUCAUAUCGACGGCGGUGUUUGGCACCUCGAUGUCGGCUCAUCACAUCCUGGGGCUGAAGUAGGUCCCAAGGGUAUGGCUGUUCGCCAUUUAAAGUGGUACGCGAGCUGGGUUUAGAACGUCGUGAGACAGUUCGGUCCCUAUCUGCCGUGGGCGCUGGAGAAUUGAGGGGGGCUGCUCCUAGUACGAGAGGACCGGAGUGGACGCAUCACUGGUGUUCGGGUUGUCAUGCCAAUGGCACUGCCCGGUAGCUAAAUGCGGAAGAGAUAAGUGCUGAAAGCAUCUAAGCACGAAACUUGCCCCGAGAUGAGUUCUCCCUGAGACUUUAAGUCUCCUGAAGGAACGUUGAAGACGACGACGUUGAUAGGCCGGGUGUGUAAGCGCAGCGAUGCGUUGAGCUAACCGGUACUAAUGAACCGUGAGGCUUAACCUUACAACGCCGAAG